rnacentral:lncRNA from 1 species
CUUUGUAAUUUGUAGCAACAAACCUGGGGUCAGACACUCCACUGCCUGUGCAUCUUGCCUGUUUCCGGAUCCGCCGUGUCACAGACAUUUUCUAUGUCAGUGCCUAUGGCUCUACCCAGGGUGAUGCUGCUGAUCUGGUCUGAUUCCCAAGCUGGAGGUAAUGGCGUGUGUCCUGCCCUAGUGCUGCUCCCUGAUGGGGAGCAUGCUCAGUUUCCUGCAUUCAGGUACGAGCAGAGACUUGGCAGGAUCCGCCCCGUUCAGAGUUGCAGGAAGAGCCCUGGAUGCCUGUCGCAAAUUGGAAUAAGUGGGAGGGAGCCACAGGCUGGUACAGAGACAAGGUAUUGCUGUGUUGUCCAGGCUGGUCACAGACUCCUGGCUGCAAGUGAUCCUCCUGCCUCAGCCUCCUAGAGUGCUGGGAUUACAGACGUGAGCUACCACACCUGGCUUUUCAUUCCUUUUAAUGGCUAAAUAAUGUUCCAUUCUAUAGAUACAUAUUUUUUUCCCCAUUCAUCAGUUGAAGGACAUUUGGGUUGUUCCUAGUUUUUGGCUAUGGUGAGUAAUACUGCUAUGGAUAUUCAUGUACAGGUUUUUGUGUGAACAUAUGUUUUCAUUUCUCUUGGGUACAUACCUGGGAAUGGAAUUGCUGGUUCAAAUGGAAACUCUUUAAGUUUUUAGUAACUGCCAGACUGCUUCCUAAAGCAGCUGCACCAUUUUACAUUCACACCAGCAGUGUAUGAAGGAUCCAGUUUCUUCACGUCGUCACCAGCACUUGCCUGUCUUUGUACACCAAUCAAAGGUGUAUGAAGUCGAUCUCAUUGUGUUUUUCAUUUGUAUAUCCCUGAUGGCUAAUGAUGUUGCCCAUCUCUUAAUGUGUUUAUUUGGUCUUUUGUACAUCAUCUUGUGGAAAAAUGUCUGUUAAGAUGGUUUGCCCAUUUAAAAAUAGUGUUAUAUGUCUUUUAUUAUUGAGUAACAGUUCUUUAUAUGUUGUGGAUACAAGUCCUUUAUCAGAUGUGUGAUUUUAAGUAUGUUCUCUCAUUCUGUGGGUCAUCUACACGUUCUUAAAAAAUUUUUUGAGACAGAGGCUUUUUAAACAAAUUUUUUUGAGACAGAGUUUACCUCCCAAGCUGGAGUCCAGUGGUGAGAUUUCGGCUCACUACAACCACCACCUCCUGGGUCCAAAUGAUCUUCCCACCCCAGCCUUCUGAGUAGUUUGGACUACAGGUACAUGCCACCACACCUGGCUAAUUUUUGUAUUUUUUGUAGAGAUGGGGUCUUGCUGUGUUGCCCAGGCUAAUAUCGAAUGCUUGGGCUCAAGCUAUCUGUCUGCCUUGGGUUCCCAAAGUACUGGGACUACAGGCGUGAGCUGCUACACCUAGCCUGCAUCUUCACUUUCUUGAUGGUAUCAUUUGCAGCACAAAACUUUUAUCUAUUUUUUUUCUUUUGUUUGUGGUUUUGGUUUAUAUUUAAAUAGGCUUCACCUGACCCAGGGUUUUGAAGAUUUACUUUUAUAUCUUCUAAGAGUUUCAUAGUUUUAGGUUUUACAUUUAGGUAUAUGGUCCAUUUUUUUUGUGUAUUGCAUAGGAAAGGGUCCCAACUUCAUUCUUUUGCAUGUGGAUGUGAAGUUUUCCCAGCACCAUUUGUUGAAAAGGCGAUUCUUUUUCUGUUAAAUUUUCUUGGCACCUGUGUUGAAAUCAAAUAUGCAGAGGUCUUGACACACUGUUACUGUCCAGUCUCUACACAUGCUGUCCUUCUCUCCCACAAAGUGUAAUAAUGUAAUAAUGCAAUAACGUGCCUGAUAACCAAAUGAGUGGAUUUCAGCAGUCCCCCUUUGUCUGAAACCUUUGUGAUCAGAGGGAAUAAACAUCUUAGAGGCAUGAAGCCCUUGCUCAGAUAAGGAGAAGAUAGAGAACCAAAGUGCCAUAAUGUACCAAGUAAAAAGCAUCAGAUGUGCCAGAAAAUAAGCAGUAGGAAUUAACUUUGAGGGUUAUCACAGGAACACUAUGUAGAGUAAGCACAAGCAGCUCAGCUGUGGACGAGCUUUGCUGUAGAUUUUGCUGCAAACCUCUGCAGGCCUGAGAGCUUGCCGUGGGUCCAGAGAGCAGCAGAUGUACUUGGCUGUGACGUCACUGGAUGUGUCCUGAUCUACUCCUUCUCCUUCUCAUACAUGAGGUUAUCUGAGGUCUCAGCCAAGAGACAAAUCAGCACUUUACCCACGGACAGCACCAAAGCUCGCCAUCUUGGCCGCUGCCCCAGAACCUUGGAAACUUCUGCAGUGAAAUGGAUUCUGAUUAUUUUUAUUACCUUUGUUCUUUUUUUAGAAUUGAAGUCUGGAAUACAUAAAGUGUGUUAAUAUUAAGUGCAACUUCGUGACCUUUUAAUUGAGGUAUUACUGUGUAACCAUCACCAGAUUAAUAUAUGGAACAUCAUAAGUACCCUGGGAGACUCCUUGUGCUAUUUCCCACUCAGUGCUCUCCUCUUAAAGAGGUCAGCACUGUUCCGGUUCUUCUAUUACCAUAUAUUUGUUUUGCCUGCUCAUGAACUUCAAAUAAAUAAAAACUAUGGUAUGUAAAAAAAAAAAAAAAAAA